rnacentral:rRNA from 1 species
UACAGAGGGGCAAGCGUUGUUCGGAAUUACUGGGCGUAAAGGGCGCGUAGGCGGCCUUCUAAGUCGAACGUGAAAUCCCCGGGCUCAACCCGGGAACUGCGUCCGAUACUGGAAGGCUUGAAUCCGGGAGAGGGAUGUGGAAUUCCAGGUGUAGCGGUGAAAUGCGUAGAUAUCUGGAGGAACACCGGUGGCGAAGGCGAACAUCCUGGACCGGUAUUGACGCUGAGGCGCGAAAGC